UCAUGGCUCAGGAUGAACGCUAGCGACAGGCUUAACACAUGCAAGUCGAGGGGCAUCACGGGAGUAGCAAUACAACUGGUGGCGACCGGCGCACGGGUGAGUAACGCGUAUGCAACCUACCUAUCAGAGGGGAAUAACCCGGCGAAAGUCGGACUAAUACCGCAUAAAACAGGGGCACCGCAUGGUGAUAUUUGUUAAAGAAAUUCGCUGAUAGAUGGGCAUGCGUUCCAUUAGGUAGUUGGUGAGGUAACGGCUCACCAAGCCGACGAUGGAUAGGGGAACUGAGAGGUUGGUCCCCCACACUGGUACUGAGACACGGACCAGACUCCUACGGGAGGCAGCAGUGAGGAAUAUUGGUCAAUGGGCGGGAGCCUGAACCAGCCAAGUCCGCGUGAAGGAAGAAGGAUCUAUGGUUCGUAAACUUCUUUUGCAGGGGAGUAAAGUGCAGGACGUGUCCUGUUUUGUAUGUACCCUGAGAAUAAGGAUCGGCUAACUCCGUGCCAGCCGCCGC
rnacentral:rRNA from 1 species